rnacentral:rRNA from 1 species
UUCCGGUUGAUCCUGCCGGACCUGACUGCUAUCGGAUUGAUACUAAGCCAUGCGAGUCAUUGUAGCAAUACAAGGCAGACGGCUCAGUAACGCGUAGUCAACCUACCCUAUGGACGGAAAUAACCUCGGGAAACUGAGUAUAAUGCCCGAUAGAACACUAUACCUGGAAUGGUUUGUGUUCCAAAUGAUUUAUCGCCGUAGGAUGGGACUGCGGCCUAUCAGUUUGUUGGUGAGGUAAUGGCCCACCAAGACUAUUACAGGUACGGGCUCUGAGAGGAGUGGCCCGGAGAUGGGUACUGAGACACGGACCCAGGCCCUAUGGGGCGCAGCAGGCGAGAAAACUUUGCAAUGUGCGCAAGCACGACAAGGUUAAUCCGAGUGUUUCCUGCUAAAGGAAUCUUUUGUUAGUCGUAAAACCACUAUUGAAUAAGGGGUGGGCAAGUUCUGGUGUCAGCCGCCGCGGUAAAACCAGCACCUCAAGUGGUCAGGAUGAUUAUUGGGCCUAAAGCAUCCGUAGCCUGUUCUGUAAGUUUCCGGUUAAAUCCAUUAACUCAACUAAUGGGCUGCCGAAAAUACUGCAGAACUAGGGAGUGGGAGAGGUAGACGGUACUCGGUAGGAAGGGGUAAAAUCCUUUGAUCUAUUGAUGACCACCUGUGGCGAAGGCGGUCUACCAGAACACGUUCGACGGUGAGGGAUGAAAGCUGGGGGAGCAAACCGGAUUAGAUACCCGGGUAGUCCCAGCUGUAAACGAUGCAAACUCGGUGAUGCCCUGGCUUGUGGCCAGUGCAGUGCCGCAGGGAAGCCGUUAAGUUUGCCGCCUGGGAAGUACGUACGCAAGUAUGAAACUUAAAGGAAUUGGCGGGGGAGCACCACAAGGGGUGAAGCCUGCGGUUCAAUUGGAUUCAACGCCGGGA